GAUGAACGCUGGCGGCGUGCCUAAUACAUGCAAGUCGAGCGGACUGAUUAGAAGCUUGCUUCUAUGACGUUAGCGGCGGACGGGUGAGUAACACGUGAGCAACCUGCCUGUAAGACUGGGAUAACUUCGGGAAACCGAAGCUAAUACCGGAUAGGAUCUUCUCCUUCAUGGGAGAUGAUUGAAAGAUGGUUUCGGCUCUCACUUACAGAUGGGCCCGCUGUGCACUAGCUAGUUGGUGAGGUGACGGCGCACCAAGGCAACGAUGCAUAGCCGACCUGAGAGGGUGAUCGGCCACACUGGGACUGAGACACGGCCCAGACUCCUACGGGAGGCAGCAGUAGGGAAUCUUCCGCAAUGGACGAGAGUCUGGCGGAGCAACGCCGCGUGAGUGAUGAAGGCUUUCGGGUCGUAAAACUCUGUUGUUAGGGAAGAACAAGUACAAGAGUAACUGCUUGUACCUUGACGGUACCUAACCAGAAAGCCACGGCUAACUACGUGCCAGCCGCCGCGGUAACAC
rnacentral:rRNA from 1 species